rnacentral:tRNA from 1 species
AGCAGCAUGGUUUAGCGGAAAGUGCCUGGAAUUGGGAAUCAGGGGUCGUGGGUUCUAAUCCCAUCUCUGCCA